rnacentral:rRNA from 1 species
UAGGGAAUCUUCGGCAAUGGACGGAAGUCUGACCGAGCAACGCCGCGUGAGUGAAGAAGGUUUUCGGAUCGUAAAGCUCUGUUGUUAGAGAAGAACGUUGGUAGGAGUGGAAAAUCUACCAAGUGACGGUAACUAACCAGAAAGGGACGGCUAACUACGUGCCAGCAGCCGCGGUAAUACGUAGGUCCCGAGCGUUGUCCGGAUUUAUUGGGCGUAAAGCGAGCGCCGGCGGUUCUUUAAGUCUGAAGUUAAAGGCAGUGGCUUAACCAUUGUACGCUUUGGAAACUGGAGGACUUGAGUGCAGAAGGGGAGAGUGGAAUUCCAUGUGUAGCGGUGAAAUGCGUAGAUAUAUGGAGGAACAACGGUGGAGAAAGCGGCUAUCUGGUCUGUAACUGACGCUGAGGCUCGAAAGCGUGGGGAGCAAACAGG